rnacentral:lncRNA from 1 species
UAUUCUAGUGUAUAACACUUUCUUUGAUAAACCUGUUGCACAAUUGAAACUAGAGUUCACUGAUUCUGAAUGUAUGAACUUAAUCCUUGAUGAUAUUUGGGUCUGCAAUAUUUUUGUUGAUAUGCAUAAUAAAUGGAGGAAUCAUGCUGUUUUGUGCUUUGGAGACAUUCUGGUCUACAACACUUUCUUUGACAUGAUAACACACUUGACUUGUCCAAAACAAGCUGAAAAAGGUACAGGUGAAGAAAGGGGCUAUAAUGAUCAGAGUAUCCAUGAUGAGUCCUUGGCUAAAUUGGAGAUGCAACAAUCAAAUCUUGGAAACUGUCUAGCCGCCAGGUUUAACAUAGGAGCAGUCCGAGGAUCAUAUCUCAGCAACCAGAAGGAAUUAAGCAACAAACUCAACUGCAAUGGAAACUACACUCAUCAGGGUCUCACGUCGAACUGGAAUCAUGUCCAAAGCUUCUCAAAUGAAAGAGUUAUGGGUUCUACAAGACGGGUGAUUCUGUGUUUGCUUUGUUUGAAUUUUUCUGAGUAUAGAACAUCUCAAUCCUAUAUAUGGCGACCAGGUGAGCAUGCUAAGGUAACCAAUCAUGUUUUCAAGAGUUCCUUUAUUGAUUACACAGAUAUGAUGCACUUGUUUUUGUCAAAAGAGUCAUGUGCAGAUUAUAUGGAAGCUUUGAAGCAUGCAAAGACAAAGAACAAGCGUGAGGAAGACAAACGUUUCAAGCCGCCUGAUCUAAGCCAGGAGAGACAUCAGGACGUCACUUGCUUCAUCCUCAUCAAAGAAGCACCUCCAGAUGCAACAUACAAGCCAAAACCGAGAAAAUAUAACUUUGGGAUAAGAAUCUUACUCUAUGAUGAUUUUGCUUGUGUUAACUUGUCUUGUUUCAAAGUAUCAGGUUUAAGUAAUGCCUCAGGAGUGAGGAAAGCCAAAUGGAUCAGUCCCUUCUACCUAAUAGAACCAGUCAGCGACAAUGCCUAUCAAAGAGGCUUGCAAGGUAAGUGUAAUCUGAUUAUAAACUCUGAUGUUACUGACUUGGUCCCUUCUAUUGCAGGUAACACAGAUUUGAGGACAAAUCUUUUUGAAGUGGGAGGGGAUGAUGUGAUCAUGGAAAGCACCAAGGAAUGGAAUCAUGAACCUGAUCAUGGAGAACUUGUAGCUGUGGAAGAACCUACACUUGAAGAAUGUUUGAGCCGAAAUAAAGCUUCUAUCAUCAGAGACAACUUGAUCUACAUUCAAGCUACUCUACACUCAAGCUGAUCAUCAUCUAGGCAAGUAGCUUGUGUGUACUCUUUUUCCCUUGAUUGGUUUUGUCCCACUGGGUUUUCCAAUCAAGGUUUUUAAUGAGGCCACAAGUUACUUCUCUUACCUCCUAGAUGAUUGAUCUUGGUCUGUCCACAUGAAGACCUUAUCUUAUAUUUUAAGCUAUGCUUUUAUGUUAUUUAGUUUUCGAAAAAACUCUAGUCUUUGUUGUGUUUCCAAGGGAGCUUUUGUCUUUAUUUUCCUUGUAUUUUCGAGACCUUGUGCAUGUACAAGGCUUCUCCUUUAUAUUCUGGUCGUGGCCCCUUGUAUCAGCAUCCAUCUUUUUAUCAAAAACCUUUGUUUUCUCUUUUCUUCUUGCUUGUCGAGUUGAGUGAGUGUUGGUGUGUAAUAUCCAACUUCUGGUGUGUAAUAUCCAGAGACUAAGGGCUCUAGUUUGGUGUGUCAUAUCCGAUCUAUUGCCUAGGAGUAUCAAGGAGCCUUUCCGCAGCCUUUUGUGUCACCAUUCGAUCCACAUACCUUGAGAAACUUGAGUCUUUUGAUUCGUUUCUGCAAGGAUUAUCCCAUCUGUUCCAGAGCAUCAUCCUAGGAUCUCAUCAAGGAUGAAUCACUUUGUGAGAAGCUUGAUUUGGAUACAUAAAGUGGUGGAGAAUCACCAGGAAUUUGAAUAAAUCUCAUAGGAGUUGGGAUGAAGAAGUUAUUCAACUUUCAAAUCAGGUGAUUCCAGUUUCCCAGUUUGGGAAUAGCACAGCUUCUUCGUCGUUCCAAUCAAACCAGGAUGAAUCACUUUGUGAGAAGCUUUAUUUGGAUACAUAAAGUGGUGGAGAAUCACCAGGAAGUUUCGUUUUUGUGUUAAAAACUCUUCAUAUACCUUGCUGAGAAAGUUUUCUGAUUUACUUGAUCAAUCUGUUUCUGUUUCUGAAAUUUCGAAUUGUUUCUGUCUUGAUCUACUCUGUUUUGAUUAAACUUGAUGUACUAGACUUGAAAGUGAACCUGAAAUCAAAAUCUCUCUGUUCUGUUUCGAAAUCAAUCUGAUCUGUUAGGUUUGGGAUUUAUCAGUUCUGUUCAGAUUAGUUUUGAUCUGUUUUAAAUCAUUGGUUGAGUUUUUAAUUUGUUCUGAGAAUUGUCUAAGGUUUUAAGCUUCAGUUUGAAUCUGUUUCUGGUUUUGCAAAUUGAUUUUUGUUUUCUCUGUAGAACUUGUUACUGCUGUGUGUUGUUUUCUGUCUCAGGUACUAUGGCAGGAGAUCAGAACGGAAAGCUCACUAAGGAAGAAAGGCUGUUACUUAAAUCUAUGAAUGCUCAUCUGCAGCAGAUGAUGGAUAACAACAUGGGUGAAUUUCAAAAGGAGCUUAGACAAAAGUUUCUGCAGCAAACUGAUGAUCUUAGGCAGAAAAAUAAAAAGAGAAUGGACAGUCAAAAGCUUGAGCCAAGAUCACCCGAUUCUGUUCAAAACAAGUCAAGCAAGCAUAAGUGGUAUAAGGAAGAGGAAGCAGGACGUGGACAACAGUCUUACAAACAGACAGGCCACACUUCGAGCAGACCACAUCAAGCUUCUCGCACUCCUAAAUCAAAUAUUCAUUCUUCUUACAAUCAAAUUGUCACUAAGCCUCAACUUUAUGUUUUUACAGGGGAAGGUGAUUAUUUAAAGUGGGAAAGAACAAUGGAGAAGUGGCUUUGCUACAACAAAAUCCUGAAGAGAGAAGCAUUGGCUUAUGUGAUGUCUCAGCUCAAAGGAAACGUUUUUAAGUGGUUGUUGCAAGAAGAAGAUGAUCGCAGGUACUACAAGGAACCAGCUAUCACCACUUGGGAAGAUCUGAAGUUGCUACUAAGGAAGAAGUAUGCAUCCAAAGGCCACACUUCUCUGAAAUCUCCAAAGAAGAAAGUCAUAUCCGCAACAGACUUCAAAAGUGAAAAAUCAGAAACCAAGAUGGCUGAUUAUGAGAAAGAAAUCAGCAGCCUUGUUAAGGAGAUUCUUAAGACCAGCAAGCACUUGGACAAGCAGAAGAAGCUCCCAAAGAAUCAAGAACCAGUUGCUACUGUCUCAGAACUCAAUGAUGCAGAACCAGACUCAGCUGCCCCAAUUCAAGAAGCUCAAACCAAAACAUCUAUGGGAAAAGGAAAGUUUGAGAAAGAACAAGAGUUUUCUCUGUUCUUACCUCACUCUGAAUCUAAUUUUGAUAAUUCCUUUGAUGAACUAACUUGUCUUGAACCGGUGCAACCGAGUAGAAUUGUUUCAGUGUCACAGGUUGCAAAAGAAGACUCAGCAGAAAAAGAACCAGAGAGUACAACACAAGAGGAACAACAGAAAAACUUGCAGACAGAAUCAGCUCAUGAAUCUUUGUCUUAUGAUCUGCAAGAGCACUGUAAGGAGUUUAAUAUGGUUGCUUCUGUGCCUAGAAUGUUUGUUAAAGUGAGUACUGAAGACAUAAAACGUUUUGGUCUUGAUAAAGUAAAAGAUUUUUGUGUUUCAAAUUCUGUUUUUGAUAACAUGUUUAAAUCUUUUAAAGAACUUAAACCAGAAAUCAUCUUUGAUCAAAAACGUUUUCAAAAUCAAAAUAAUAACAUUUCUGGUCAUAUUCUGAGUUUUGAUCAUUUUCUGAAACAUGGGAAAAGUUUUGAUCAUUUUGAAAAGGUUUUAGAGCUUGAAUUGAAACAAUCUGAUUUCUGUUUGAAACCUUGUGAUUCAUUUGUUAGAACUGAAGAAAGAAGUUUUGUUACGAACUUCCAUGUGCAUAAACUGAUCCUUGAUAAUUCUUUUGUUUCUGCUUAUGAAUUGAAUGAACCUAAGAAGUUGCAGGAACCGAAAUUGCAUAAAUCUGAUUUUAGAUUUAAAUUUGUGAAAUCUGCAAAGUUCUCUAAGUUUGAGCUUGAUAAUGAUUCUAAACAUGUAGGUUGGUUCUUUGAUGAUAUUCUAGUGUAUAACACUCUCUUUGAUAAACCUGCUGCACAAUUGAAACUAGAUAUCACUGAUUCUGAAUGUGUGAACUUGAACCUUAAUGAUAUUUGGGUCUACAAUACUUCCUUUGAUAUGAUAACACACUUGACUUGUCCAAAAAGAGCUGAGAAGUGUACAGGUAAAAAGAGGGGCUAUACUGAUGAGUCCUUGGCUAAGCUGGAGAUGCAACAAUCAAAUCUUGGAAGCUGUCUAGCCGCCA